AUUGAACGCUGGCGGCAGGCCUAACACAUGCAAGUCGAACGAGUGGCGGACGGGUGAGUGAUGUCUGGGAAACUGCCCGAUGGAGGGGGAUAACUACUGGAAACGGUGGCUAAUACCGCAUACCAUCGGAUGUGCCCAGAUGGGAUUAGCGAGUAGGUGGGGUAACGGCUCACCUAGGCGACGAUCCCUAGCUGGUCUGAGAGGAUGACCAGCAACACUGGAACUGAGACACGGUCCAGACUCCUACGGGAGGCAGCAGUGGGGAAUAUUGCACAAUGGGCGCAAGCCUGACGCAGCCAUGCCGCGUGUAUGAAGAAGGCCUUCGGGUUGUAAAGUUCUGUCGGCAGGGAGGCGUUACUCGCAGAGAAAGCACCGGCUAACUCCGUGCCAGCAGCCGCGGUAAUAC
rnacentral:rRNA from 1 species